rnacentral:rRNA from 1 species
GACGAACGCUGGCGGCGUGCUUAACACAUGCAAGUCGAACGGAAAGGCCCUGCUUUUGUGGGGUGCUCGAUUGGCGAACGGGUGAGUAACACGUGAGUAACCUGCCCUUGACUUUGGGAUAACUUCAGGAAACUGGGGCUAAUACCGGAUAGGAGCUCCUGCUGCAUGGUGGGGGUUGGAAAGUUUCGGCGGUUGGGGAUGGACUCGCGGCUUAUCAGCUUGUUGGUGGGGUAGUGGCUUACCAAGGCUUUGACGGGUAGCCGGCCUGAGAGGGUGACCGGCCACAUUGGGACUGAGAGACGGCCCAGACUCCUACGGGAGGCAGCAGUGGGGAAUAUUGCACAAUGGGCGGAAGCCUGAUGCAGCAACGCCGCGUGCGGGAUGACGGACUUCGGGUUGUAAACCGCUUUCGCCUGUGACGAAGCGUGAGUGACGGUAAUGGGUAAAGAAGCACCGGCUAACUACGUG